rnacentral:rRNA from 1 species
CCUACGGGAGGCAGCAGUGGGGAAUAUUGCGCAAUGGGCGAAAGCCUGACGCAGCGACGCCGCGUGAGGGAUGAAGGUCUUCGGAUCGUAAACCUCUGUCAGCAGGGAAGAACGGUCACUGUGCUAAUCAGCAGUGAAUUGACGGUACCUGCAAAGGAAGCACCGGCUAACUCCGUGCCAGCAGCCGCGGUAAUACGGAGGGUGCGAGCGUUAAUCGGAAUUACUGGGCGUAAAGCGCUCGUAGGCGGUAUGGCAAGUCAAGGGUGAAAUCCCCGCGCUCAACGUGGGAACUGCCUUUGAAACUGGCAGACUGGAGUGUGUGAGAGGAUAGUGGAAUUCCAGGUGUAGGAGUGAAAUCCGUAGAUAUCUGGAGGAACAUCAGUGGCGAAGGCGACUAUCUGGCACAUAACUGACGCUGAGGAGCGAAAGCGUGGGUAGCGAACAGGAUUAGAUACCCGGGUAGUC